GACGAACGCUGGCGGCGUGCCUAAUACAUGCAAGUAGAACGCACAGUUUAUACCGUAGCUUGCUACACCAUAAACUGUGAGUUGCGAACGGGUGAGUAACGCGUAGGUAACCUGCCUGGUAGCGGGGGAUAACUAUUGGAAACGAUAGCUAAUACCGCAUAAUAUUAAUUAUUGCAUGAUAAUUGAUUGGAAGAUGCAAUUGCAUCACUACCAGAUGGACCUGCGUUGUAUUAGCUAGUAGGUGAGGUAACGGCUCACCUAGGCGACGAUACAUAGCCGACCGGAGAGGGUGAUAGGCCACACUGGGACUGAGACACGGCCCAGACUCCUACGGGAGGCAGCAGUAGGGAAGCUUCGGCAAUGGACGAAAGUCUGACCGAGCAACGCCGCGUGAGGGAAGAAGGGUUUCGGAUCGUAAAGCUCGGUUGUAAGAGAAGAACGGGUGUGAGAGUGGAAAGUUCACACUGUGACGGUAUCUUACCAGAAAGGGACGGCUAACUACGUG
rnacentral:rRNA from 1 species